UUGACUCCCGCACUCUGCAAGAAGACAGAGCAAAAGUCAGAGAGAGAGAGGGGAGAGUUAGAGAUGGGGCAGAUAAAAAGAAAAAACUCCGAUUGCUUUGUAGAAAUCGAAUUGCUUUGUCUUCAUUUUGUUUAACGAAGUCAAAGCAACGCCAAAGACAAAAGCAACCGUCCGCUUCCUAAGAAUUAUAAGACAGACUCGUCCGACCGAUUUGACGGAUGUUUAUUUCUGUGGUAAGAAGCUAAAGAUUUUGAAAUUCCAUUAAAAAUCAAAAAAUAAAAAGGGUUGAUCGGCAAACUUGAUUGGCUACUGUGGAAAAUCUAUAAAAUGGCAACCCAAAGGCCACGGCAAGUCGUCUUCAUAUAAUAGCUUUGCCAUUUGAAACAAUUCGAUUUGGCCUUUUCUCUCUUACAAUAUCUUUAGACCGCGCGACUCCGAAGAGAUUCGCUUCCGAACUGAGGAACAAAGGAGAAGAUGCAGGGAGGUUGGGAGGAUGCAGAUAUUAAGGAGAACAGCAUUAAGAUCAAUGGCCUCGCUUGUUUUGCCAUUGAUGAGCACAACAAGGAGGUACUCGGAAUUUCUCUUUCCUUUUGUCUCUCCUUUCUUUUUUUAGGAUAAUGACACAAAUUAUCCCUGAAAUUUGGCCCAAUGCGCAAUAUGAUCUCUGAGCCUUAGCCUAAUAUUCAAUGUGGUCUCUGGAUUUUUAGUACAUGUUCAAUAUAAUUCCUGAACCAUACGAAAAUGUUCAAUGCAGUACUUCCAUUAAUUUAAGAUCAGGGACAAUAUUGAACGUUUUCAUAUAAUCUAAGAACUAAAUUGAACAUGUAUCAAAAGUUUUGGGACUACAUUGCACAUCGAGCUAAAGUUCAUGGACCAUUUAUGCCAUUUUCCCUUUUUCUUUCAAUUUGAUUUGGUUUUGAUGGGUGAUUGGAAUUUGAUGAAACUUUCAUGGUUUUGAUGGUUUGCUGCUGGAAUGAUUACUGUGGUUGCCCUAAUUAUAAGUGAUGCUCGUGAAAACAAGGAAAUUUGGGAUGUGGGUGUAGUUAAUCUGGUCAUCUAUGCUCGAAAUUGAUCGUAAUCACGUUCGGUUGAAGCAGAUGAUCACAGUGUCAAGGGCGGUCUGCAUGCAUUUGCCAGGAUUUGUGGGGGCGGAAGUUUCAGUUACCAUGUCAUCAGGAUAAAGGAAAUCUUAGUAUAUGAUCGAUCAAUUUAUUGGAUUGAGAUUUGAGUCUUUCAAAGGAGGAAAAACAGUUUUUGAUCUGCAGUUUCUUGGACAUGAAAAAGCGAGCUUGAAGUAGCAGAAAGUCAUGUUUAUUUAUACUGUUCCCAUUUGUUUUUGGUUCAAAUGUUUGUCAAUAAUGUGCUGAUGGUGUUGUUGGGGGACCAGAAUGCGAAGCUGCAGUGUGAAGGUGGAUAAAGCGAGAAUGCAGGUGGUUGAGGGUUUUAUGUACGAUAUCACCUUUGAAGCAACCGAUGGUGGUGUCAAGAAGGUAUACGAAGCUAUGGUUUGGGUGAAGCCGGGGAAGGAUCACUACGAGCUCAAGGAAUUUAAGCUCAUCGGUGAUGCCCCUGCCAAAGCUAGCGCAAAGCUUCCGGCUCCAAACUUCGAAGGUUGCUUCUCGUCGGACCGAUCUAAUCCUAAGAUUCAUUGCCUAGGAUGGAAUAUCAGCGUUAACUUGAAAACUAGACAACAACAUGCGGGGGUGACGUGUUUUGUCUAAGUCGUUUGUUUAUACAUGUGAUAGGAGUUCUCACAAAGCACUUCUCUGUCAUGGAGAUUCUUUGCUCAGUUCAAUCUGUAGUCUCAGUGCUCAAGGCUUGCCAAUUUGUUUUUUGCACUAAAAGAUUAAUUGCACUCAGUGUCCAGGACCAGUAUACAGUCACUUUCUGCAUUGUUGAUAGAUUAUUGCCCUAUUGGUUGAAUGUUUGAAUUUAGAUGGUAUUGUUCUCCA